rnacentral:pre_miRNA from 1 species
AAACAAGUCACCUGGGGAUCUUGUGAAAUUACAAAUUCUGAUUCAGAAGGUCUGGGAUCAGGACCCGAGAUUCUGAAUUUGUAUGAUGCUUCCAGGUGAUGUCAAU